AAGACUAUAGACCUGCGGAGUACCUGCGGAGGGAUCAUUACUGAGUGAGGGCCCUCUGGGUCCAACCUCCCACCCGUGUUUAUUGUACCUUGUUGCUUCGGUGGGCCCGCCGCAAGGCCGCCGGGGGCUUCCGCCCCGGGCCCGCGCCCACCGGAGACAAACUGAACUCUGUCUGAAUGUUGCAGUCUGAGUAAAAACUUAAUAAGUUAAAACUUUUAACAACGGAUCUCUAGAUCGGAA
rnacentral:misc_RNA from 1 species